UGCCCUGCAACUUCUAUCCGUACCUCCUUCUCGGUACUGGCCGGGGUACGAGUAACCUUAGGGAAGAUCUGUUAAUUAACCCUGGUGGAAACUUUGGUCGUAUGCAGACAGGGAAGG
rnacentral:ribozyme from 1 species